GAUGAACGCUAGCGGCAGGCCUAAUACAUGCAAGUCGAACGGGAUCCAGAUCAAAGCUUGCUUUGGUCUGGUGAGAGUGGCGCACGGGUGCGUAACGCGUGAGCAACCUACCCUUGUCAGGGGGAUAGCCCGGCGAAAGUCGGAUUAAUACCGCAUGACAUCAUUGAGAGGCAUCUUUCGAUGAUCAAAGAUUUAUCGGACAAGGAUGGGCUCGCGUGACAUUAGCUAGUUGGUAAGGUAACGGCUUACCAAGGCUGCGAUGUCUAGGGGCUCUGAGAGGAGAAUCCCCCACACUGGUACUGAGACGCGGACCAGACUCCUACGGGAGGCAGCAGUAAGGAAUAUUGGUCAAUGGACGGAAGUCUGAACCAGCCAUGCCGCGUGCAGGAGGACGGCCCUAUGGGUUGUAAACUGCUUUUAUACGGGAACAAACGUCGGUACGGGUACCGGUCUGAGUGUACCGUAAGAAUAAGGAUCGGCUAACUCCGUG
rnacentral:rRNA from 1 species